AGCAGUCCAGCCCUGUUCCCUACCUCCUCGUGGUACUGGCCGGGGUGUGAGCAACCAUAGGGAAGAUCGGGUAACCAACCCCGGUAGGAACUUUGGUCGUACGCUGACAGGGAAG
rnacentral:ribozyme from 1 species